AACGAACGCUGGCGGCGUGGAUUAGGCAUGCAAGUCGAACGCGAAAGAGGGGGCAACCCCUUGAGUAGAGUGGCGAACGGGUGAGUAACGCGUGAGAAACCUGCCUUCGACAGGGGGAUAACACUCCUAACGGGGUGCUAAUACCGCAUGAGACCACGGAGUCGCAUGGCUCCGAGGUCAAAGGUGGCCUCUAUUUAUAAGCUACCGGUCGAAGAUGGUCUCGCGUCCCAUUAGCUAGUUGGCGGUGUAAAAGACCACCAAGGCGACGAUGGGUAGCUGGUCUGAGAGGAUGGUCAGCCACACUGGGACUGAGAUACGGCCCAGACUCCUACGGGAGGCAGCAGUCGAGAGGCUUCGGCAAUGGGGGAAACCCUGACCGAGCGACGCCGCGUGAGGGAUGAAGGCCCUUGGGUUGUAAACCUCUUUUGUUCGGGAAGAAGUGCGAUCAGGUGAACAAUCUGGUCGUUUGACGGUACCGGACGAAUAAGCUCCGGCUAACUCCGUGCCAGCAG
rnacentral:rRNA from 1 species